rnacentral:rRNA from 1 species
CCCUUAGACGUUCUGGGCCGCACGCGCGCUACACUGACCAGUGCAACAAGCAUCCGUCCUUGGCCGACAGGCUCGGGCAAUCUUUGAACGCUGGUCGUGAUGGGGAUAGACUUUUGCAAUUUUUGGUCUUCAACGAGGAAUUCCUAGUAAACGCAAGUCAUCAACUUGCAUUGAUUACGUCCCUGCCCUUUGUACACACCGCCCGUCGCACCUACCGAUUGAAUGGUCCGGUGAAGCCUCCGGAUUGGCGCGCACCUCGGUGCCGCCGAGAAGUUGGCUAAACCUUACCGUUUAGAGGAAGGUGAAGUCGUAACA